rnacentral:lncRNA from 1 species
GAGACGAACAGUCGCGUCGUUUGGAAUGCUUGGGGCGCUAGUGUUUCUGGAACCUUCCGUUUGCGGCGCCUAGGGUUCCAGAAACCCUAGGUCUUCCGUCCUUUGUUAACCAACUGGGCCAUUUGGGCCGUACUUGUUUGUAGGUUAGGUGUAAAUGGGUUAGUAGGUAGUUUAGGUAAUUGGGUUCUAAGUAUUUGGGUCUACGGGUUAAUGGGCUAUGGUAUUGUAAAUGGACUGUAAUAAAUAAACAUUCAUUUAUUUAUUUUUUUGCUUUUUGUUUUAAGGCCCGGGCAGAUUUGGGCUACUACAGCUGCCACUCUUUGCUUAUUGCUAUGUAAUAGGAAUCGAGCAAAGACUUAUAGACAGACCAAAUUUUCCCGGUCUUAUCAGAUCCUCGUCUUCAAUCUGUUCUUUGCAAACUUAAGACUGUCAUGCUGAUAUUUCGAUCUGCUCUCCGUCGAACACAAAGACGCUAAAUCUGCUAUCUUCAAUCUGCUUUCUGACAAUACAGAGACGCCAAAUCUGCUGUCUUUGAUCUGCUCCCUGACAAUACAGGGAUGCCAAAUCUGCUUCUUGGACUUGCUCCUCGUCGAAUACAAAGAUGUCAAAUCUACUAUCUAUGAUUUGCUCUCUGACCAUACAGAGAUGCCAAAUCUGCUAUCCUCGAUCUGCUCCCUAACAAAUACAGAGACGCCAAAUCUACUAUCUUUGAUCUACUCUCUGAUAAUACAGAGAUGCCAAAUCAUCUUAGAUUUGCUUCAGUGUAAACACGUGAAAGCCAAAUCUACCAUGUCUUCGAUCUGCUCCCUGACAAUACAGGGACGCCAAAUCUGCUAUCUUCGAUCUGCUCUCUGAAAAAUACAGAGACGCCAAAUCUGCUAUCUUUGAUCUGCUCUCUGACAAUACAGAGAUGCCAAAUCAUCUUAGAUUUGCUUCAGCGUAAACACGUGAAAGCUAAAUCUGCUAUGUCUUAAAUCUGCUCCUUGUAAACAUAAGGAUGCCAAAUCAUCUUGGAUCUACUUCGAUAUGGAAACACCCAAAGGUUAGAUCUGCUAUGUCUUCGAUCUGCUCUCCGUCGAAUAUGGAGAUGACAAAUCUGUUUCUUCGAUUUGUUCUCUGACAAUACAGAGAUACCAAAUCAUCUUGGAUCUGCUUCAGCAUAAAUACUUGAAAGUCAGAUCUGCUAUGCUUUAGCCUAUUACCUACUGCUUAAGGGGUUAAGGCGCAUCAAUCUUCAUUGUCCUUUGAAGGACAUAACCUGUAUAAUGUGUAUGAGUUUAUGCCUAAUGAUUAGGAUGCUUAUGAUUAAAAUGAGUCAAAUGCUCUUAAUUAAACCUGUUAUAAUGCAAAAUGUUUAUGAAUAUGACCCCUAUUCCAGACAUCACUAGUCAUUCCUUCGUUGAAGUUUAACUUUAUUUCUCUCGAAUUAUCAUUCCUACUCAGCCUGUGGGUUUGUACCAUUCUUCAAAUGCUAUGACCCACCAAAAAUGUUUGUAAGAUGAUCCUCUCUUAGGAUCGAAUCGUUUGAUUUGUCCAAUCAUCAUUUUGGACUAAAGAAAUAAUUUCCUCGAGUUCUUUCGAACCUUACUUACGUGAAUUCCUUGAACAAUUGUUCCGUUUUAGUUUCUUGUAUUAUCUAGAAAUUUCCAGAGUAAUGAACAAAACUUCAUUUGUGAAAAUUAUUUAGUUCAUCUAUCAUUAUUUAAUGCAACACACUUUAAGAAUAAUGAACGAUGAAUUUAAUUAGAUUUGAAUAAAUUUGUCAAAAAUACAAAGAAAAUUAAUCUGAAAGCCUAUCUUUGAGAAGAAAGAGAAUCUAAAGAUAGCAAACAGGACAAAAGUUAGAUGCCCUAGAUAUCGCCGCUUAAGCAUUUAUAGGCCAGCUCCAUGAAGACUUUCUUGAGUUUAACAUGUGUUUAAAAGAUCCAAAGUACUUUGUUGAUGCCCCGAUAUGCAACGCGCUUCACUCUUCGUUGAAUCAGAUAUAGCAAGAUUACCGUGUGCUCUUCAAAAUUUGAGUUGCCCUUUCGGGUUUUCAACUCAAAGCCCCUUUGGUCACAAGGCGCCCUUUGUGGAUUUUCACCUUGGCCUCUCCAUUUUUUUUUUGAAAACUUAAGGCGCCCUUUGCGGGUUUUCACCCUGAAUUCUUCUCUCCUUUAGACAAAGUACUUUUUGACUGAGUCUGAAUUCAUUGGAUUGGGUAAACUCUUCCCAUCCAUUUCCAUUAAGAUCAAUGCACCCCCAGAGAAAGCCUUCUUUACGACAUACGACCCUUCCCAAUUCGGCAUCCAUUUUCCUCUAAAGUCCUUCUAAAUGGGGAGAAUCUUUUUCAAUACAAGGUCCCCUUCGUGGAAUUCUCUUGGACGAACUUUCUUAUCAUAAGCUCGCAUCAUUCGCUUCUGAUACAUCUGACCAUGGCGAAUAGCUUUUAGCCUCUUUUCUUCGAUCAAGUUCAAUUGGUCAUACCGGGAUUGAAUCUGUAACAACCCUAACCCGUACCCGCUGCCAGAACAGGGUUUCGGAGCAUUACUACCAUUUGCAGAUCACUUAAAAAAAUUUAAAUACUUACCGAUUCAAUGCAUCAUAUAAAUAAAUAUAUAUUACCAUUCAAUCAAUAGUUUGGCACUUGUACAAGCAUCAGACAGCAACAUUGUUAGUAUACUUGCACAUAUCACACUUGAGUUUAAUAAUAGUCUCAACUUACAUAAUUUCCUUGUAUCAACAUAUCAAAGAUAAUCAUUUAUGUACAUGUCAUGAAACAUAUCAUGCUCUUACUGUUUCUUCAUAAGCAUAUAUCAUUCAUUUCAUUAUAUCAAUAUUUCAUGCUCCAUCAUUUCCAUAUAUUUUAUGUAUAUUUAUUCCGAUAAUAGCUUAUAUCUUAACAUAAAUUAUAUUCCAUGUACUUAUACUUAUUUCGUUUAUCUAUCUUCAUAAUUAUUUCAUACAACUAUUUUGUACAUAUAUUUCCAUAUGACCAGUUCUUGUAAACAUUUCAAACAACCAUUUCAUAUAACCAUUCGUCAUCUGAUACGUAUUACCUGAAUAUCAAUUGUUCAAUAGAUGUCAUAGCGUCUUCCAUCCACGGUCUUAUUUAUCUUUGACAUGAUGCCAUAGUGUCUUUCAACUAUGGUCUUACUCAUUUUCUGUCAUGUUGCCAUGGUAUCUUUCAACCAUGAUCUUAUUCUUUUCAUGUCACGUUGCCAUGGUAUCUUUCAACCAUGGUCUUACACAUUUCAUAUCAGGUUGCCAUGGUAUCUUUCAACCAUGGUCUUACACAUUUCAUAUCAGGUUGUCAUGGUAUCUUUCAACCAUGGUCUUACACAUUUCAUAUCAGAGAGUACACUCCCGCGAACCUCAUCCUUACAGUGGGAUUACCAGUCCAGGCUAAAUACCCUGUAAUAUAAACUCAUAGAAUAUUGCCAGAAUUACCAAUCCAGGCUAAAUCCCCUAGAACGACAAUUACUCUAAUGAGCUUGGUUUGAAUUACCAGCCCAGGCUAAAUUCAGACCCUAAUUUGGAUUACCCGUCCGGGCUAAAUCCAUUUUACACAUAUUCUUCGGGAGGGCUAUAUCAGAAUAGGAUCACCCGUCCGGACUAGAUCCUUUUUACCGUCAAUUCCUUUUCAAAGAUCCAUCAAAUUUUCCUUUCAUUCAACCGGGAUUUAUUUUCAAUUUAUAUCGAGUAUUAGCAAUAUUUCAUCAAUUAUCAUGAAUUGAACAUUCAAAUCAUAUUUUUAGCACAUAACCACAUUUUUCAAGUGUUUAAAAUACAAUUCAGGUUACACAAACUUACCUCAUUACUUGUUUGUGUUUAUAAUUUCAUUAAUCCGAUAUCUUUUCUUUUCCACGAUCAAGUCUCAUAUUUGAGUCGUCCGGAUCUUUAUAAAUAAAUUUGAUCAUCAUUUUCAUUCAUUUAAUAUUCUAAUGCAUUUAAUUAAUGCUCUAGGAAAAAUUACCAUUUUGCCCCUAAACUUUUAAUUAAUGACGAUUUCAUCCUUAGGGUUAGGAAAAUAAAAUUCUUGCAAUUUAAUCCUUAUUUAUAGCUAUUAUUCUCAUAUGUAUUGAUAACAGUCCAUGAAUUCUAUAAAAUAUCAGAAUUUUUCAUAAUUUCAACACUUUUCAAUUUAAUCCCUAAAACAUGUUUUCCCCCGAUCUUGAACUAAAUUAAUAAUUUCAUUCAAUUUUGUAAUUUAAAUAAUAAAAUAAUCCAUUUCAUGCAAUUUAGUCAUUUCUGACAUUGUUUACAAAAUUGCCCAUAAAAUUUUACUUUUAUUCAAUUUAGCCCCUGAGCCUAAAAUAUACAAAUUAGCCAUGCUAGAUGAAUAUUCAUACAUAUUUUUCCUCCUCCUCCUCUCCAUUCCACAUCCUUAAUGUAGAUAACGCACUUGUAAGUAACAUUAUCCAUAAUUUUUAUUAUCUAUUUUUAUGAAUAUUCAAGCUAUCUAUCUGCGUCAUAGUCACUAAAUUAUUUAUAUCUGGAUCUAUAGAACUCCAAAUUAAGAUCCGCUAAUUUUUCCUGAAACUAGACUUAUAUAUAUUCUUACCAUAAAAUUUUCAGAAUUUUUAGUUUAGCCAAUAAGUAUAGUUUAUUCUUUAAAGUUACCCCUGUUCUGCUGUCUGACAGUUCUAGCCCUUCUUCACUAAAAAUUAAUUAUCUCCUCAUACAGAAUUCGAAUGAUGUUCCCGUUUGUUUCUAUUGAAAAUAGACUCAUUCAGUAUUCUAAACAUAUAAAUUUAAGCCCCUAAUUAUUUUUAUCCAAUUUUUUAUUAUUUUACAAAGUCAGAAAAGGGGAACCCUAAAUCAUUCUGACCUUGUCUCACAAAAUUCAUCAUAUCUCAUGAUUUACAAUUCCAUUUCUUACAUCAUUUCUUUUAUAAGAAACUAGACUUAAUAAGAUCUAAUUUCAUCUUUUAUUCAUCUAUAAUUAGAUUUCUACAAUAUUUGAGGAUUUUUCAAAGUUAGACUACUGCUGCUGUCCAAAACUGUUUUAGUACAAGAUAUUAAUUACAUGUUAUAACACCCUUAUUUUCUUUUUCUACACCAUUUCUUGUAACACCCCCUAAUCCCAACCGUCGCCGGAAUAGGGUUACGAGGCGUUACCGAACAUACUGGUUAAUUUACAAACAAUUCAUGAAUAAACAAUAAAUAUAUUAAAAUUAAAUCAUUAAGUCUCUUUUAUGAACCCCGAGGCCUAAAUCACGUAUUAUAAAUGAAUAGGGACUUAUUCAAGUACUCCGAAAAUUUUUCGUAAUAUAAUAAUAAUGAUAUUUUUUUUAAAAAAAAAUUCAAUAUAACCCCUUUAGAAACAUCUAACCUUCCUUGCAAUUUCAAAUUUGCAACUAACUCAACACAACAACAACUCAACAAAUACAAUCUUCAUCCAAAUCACAUUCGUCUUAUAACAAUAUCACUAAUCCUUAUUUUAUCUAACAUUAUAUCCAUUCAUACUUUAAAGUAGAGGUGUUCAUGGGCCGGGCCGAGUUCGGGUCAGGCUCAACUAAAAAAUCAUGCCCAUUUAUUGGGCUCGGGCUGGGCCCAAAAAAUGGGCCUAAAAUUUUGCCCAAGCCCGACCCGGAUAAAAAUACUAAAACCCAGGUUUGGCCCGGCCCGCCCGUAUUAAUUUUUUAUAUUAUUUUAUUAUUUUUUAAAAUAUAUAUAAUACAUCAAAAAUACUAAAAAUAUCAAAAUAAAUAUUUCCCAACAAAUUGAAAAUAAAUUUUGAAAAAUAUGUAGACUUAAAUAACACUAAGAUAAAUGCAACUUAACUAGCAAUUGCUUCUAAAAUAAUAAAAAAAUUAACAAAUGCCUUUAAAAUAAUAAGAAAAUUAACAAUAAAAUAAAUUUUAUACAAUAUCCAAACAAUAACAACAAAAUAAUAGCAACAUAAUAGUAAAAUGGUAGCAAAAUAUGGAGAAAACAACAAGAAAAUAACAUUUAAAAAUAAAAAAAUAUGCAGCUUUUUUUUGUCCUUUAGUGAAUUCGGGCCGGGCCAGGCCCAGGCUAAAAAUAUCUUACCCGAGGCCCGGCCCAUUUUUUAAAAGGGCCUUAUUUUUUUGUCCAAGGCCAUUUUUCGAGCCUAUAUUUUUGCCCAAACCCUCCCACAUUUCGGGCGGGCCUUCGGGCAUGGCCAGGACGGGUAGCCCGGCCCAUGCACACCUCUACUUUCAAGUAGUAUUUAAACAUCUUAAUUAAUUUCCAUUCAUAUCAUAUAUCAACUUAUAUUAACUUAACUAAUAUAUUCAUGAGUUGAUACAAAACAUAGUCACAUAAGCUCCUAUACAUGCCAUAUAAACCAUUUAAAGUAUUUAUAACAAAAUCUAUCGAAAAAUCGAGAUAGUGUGACUUAAGUGUGAUGAUCCGAUCCCCUGGCCCUCCCGUUAAUCUACAAAGAGCAAUAAACAUUACAGGUAAGCUAACUAUAGCUUAGUAAGUUCGUCGGCUUAAACCAUAAACCUUACCAAUAUUAGUUUUAAAAAUUCAAAUCAUAUGGACAUUUCAAGUAAGUUACUUUCAUCCUGUAAAUCAUAAUUUCAUUUUAAAAAUAAUUUACUUAAUUGAGCUCAAAAAUAAUGAUAACAUUAUUUACAUUUCUUUUUCCACACGUUACAAUUACGACUUACCGACUUGUCAAUUUAAGGAACGACUUACGGAUUUGAGUACAUCGUGAUCUGAAACCCGAAAUCUAACUGAAGCACAUAAGUGCUAAACGGAAGCCCGAAGGCUAACUGAAGCUCAUCAGAGCUGAACUGAAACCCCAAAAGGGUUAACUGAAACUCAUAUGAGCUAACGGAAGCUUGUAAGAGCUAAACAAAAAGCAAACACGAGAGUUUGCAAAAAAUGUUGAAUCUCGGUUUACUUGGGUAAUUUACUGUCAAUUCGUCUUUUUCAUCGAACGUUCGUACUCAUUUCUUGCGUUCCGUUCCUCCGAAAUACUCAGUUCAAUUUCGUAACUUUUGUACAUGAUUUAAUUAUUUUUAACAAUUAACAUACAUAAAUAUUAAUCACCAUUCAUAAAAUAACAUUGAAAUUUAAUAAUUUAAUCGUACGAACUUACCCGGAAUAAUUUGCAGUAGUUGUACAGAUUUCUGGAACUAUUCCGAAAUUCUCUCUUUUCCUCGUUUAUCCUCGAUUUCUUGAUCUAUAAUAUAAAAUUUUUCACUUAUCAGUAUUGACUUCACAUUCAUUCUAUUUCACAUCCUUAAUGUUUAUAACCCACUUAUAAGUAACAUUAUUUGGAAUUUCACUAUUUACCUAUGUAUAUUCAAUGCUAUCCAUCCGUGUCAUAGUCACUAAAUUAUUUUUAUCUUGAGCUACAGAACUCAAAAUUAGGAUCUGCUAAUUUUCUCUGAAACUAGACUCACAUAUCUUCUUAUCACAAAAUUUUCAUAAUUUUUGGUUUAGCCAAUAAGUACAGUUUAUUUUUUAAAGUCACCUCGUUCUGCUGUCUGUCAAUUCCAACCCUUCUUCACUAAAAAUUAAUUAUCACUUCGUACAGAAUUCGGAUGAUGUCCAUGUUUGUUUCUAUUGAAAAUAGACUCAUUAAGGAUUUUAAAAUAUAAAUUUAAUCCCAUAAUUAUUUUUCUCAAUUAUUUGAUGAUUUUCCAAAGUCAGAGCAGGGGAACCCAAAAUCAUUCUGAAAUUGUCUCACAAAAUCUAUUAUAUCUCAUGAUCUACAAUUCCGUUGUUUACACUGUUUCUUCUAUGAGAAACUAGACUCAAUAAGCUUUAAUUUCAUAUUUUUUUCAUCUUUUAAUUUGAUUUCUAAAAUUUAUGGAGAUUUUUCAAAGUUAGACUACUGCUGCUGUCCAAAACUGUUUUAGUGCAAAUGUUGAUUUCGAUUUUUGCCCCAAAUUUCACAGUUCAUACAAUUCAGUCCUUACUCAAUUAAUCCCUCAAUGAAGCUAAUUUUUCCUAAUUAAUGCUUUACCUAGACAUUAUAAGUUAUUUCACAAUUAUUUAAAUUCAUAAUUUCCACAUAAAACCCUAACUUCAAACUAUUUCACCAUUAGGUCCCAAACAUUCACUUUCUAUUCAAUUCUUUCAAUAAAAUCAGCAUAUAAACAAUUUAAAACUCUAAUUCCAUGCUAAAUCAUCAUAUACUUCCAGCACAUAUUCAUAGAAACUUCCAAUUUCUUUCAUAGAAUCAAAAACUAAUGAAUUCAACAAGUGGACCUAGUUGUAAAAGUCAUAAAAACACAAAAAUUUCAAGAAAUAAUCAAGAAUUGAACUUACUUGCAGUAAAAAUAUGAAAAACCAGCUUAAGAAAACCCUUAUAUGGUGUUUUUUUCUAAUGAGAAUGCAGAAAAAUAAUGAGAAAUCUAGAUAAUUCCACUUUAGUCCUAGGUUUAUUAAGUAAAUUUUGCAAUAUUCCAAUUUUGCCCUUAAUCCAUCAAUUUUCCUGCUGAUUUCAUGCCUCUUGCCGUCCAGCCCAAAUAGACCUUGGGUCUAUUUUCCUUUUAAACCCUCUUUCUUUUAUCAUUUAAGCUAUUUAAUCAUUUUCCAUAAUUUUACAUUUGUUAUAAUUUAAUCCUUUUUAUUCAAUUAACUAUCGAAACUUUAAAAUUUCUUAACGAAACUUUAAUACUAACUUAUUAACACUCCAUAAAUAUUUAUAAAAAUAUUUAUGGCUCGUUUUAAAAUUUUCAAACUCUCGAUAUCUCAUAUCCGAUUCUAAUUUUUAAAAUUUUUAUUUCUAGUACACUAUUCGCUAUUUCAAAAAUUUUCCUAACUUCACACUUAACUUAUAUUCACUAAAUUAUUAAUAUUUUAUACUCAUUUGUCAGAUUUAGUGAUCUCGAAUCACUGUUUCGACACCACUGAAAAUUUAGGCUAUUACAAUUCUCCCCCUCUUAAGAAAUUUCAUCCUCGAAAUUUCUUACUUGAAAAUAGGUUCGAAUAUUGUGAUUUCAUUGAUUCCUCUGUUUCCCAAGUUGCUUCCUCCACACCAUGUCGAUGCCACAACACUUUAACUAAUGGUACCUUUUUAUUCCGCAGUUCUUUAAUUUCCCGAGCUAAAAUCUUCACUGGUUCUUCUGAAUAAGUUAUAUCUGACUGAAGCUGAAUUUCUGUAUGCGAAAUCACAUGUGAAGGGUCUGAUCUAUGACGUCUCAGCAUAGACACAUGGAAGACAUUAUGAAUCUUCUCAAGCUCUGGAGGUAAAGCUAAUCGAUAUGCUACAGGGCCGACUCUUUCAAUAAUCUCGUAUGGUCCAAUAAAUCUUGGACUUAGUUUUCCUUUUCUGCCAAAUCGUAAUACUUUUUUCCACGGCGACACCUUUAAGAACACUUGAUCACCCACAUUAAACUCUAUUUCUCUUCUUUUCAAGUCAGCAUAUGAUUUCUGACGAUCCGAAGCAGCUUUCAGACAAUCUCAGAUAAUCCGAACCUUUUCUUCAGUUUCCCGAAUUAAAUCGACCCCCACCUACUUCGAUUCACUCAAUUCUAACCAAUGCAAUGGAGUCUUACAUUUUCUUCCAUAUAAAGCUUCAAAUGACACCAUUUUAUACUGGAUUGAUAACUGUUGUUGUAAGCAAAUUCGGCCAGUGGUAAAUAUUUUUCCCAACUACCACCAAACCCUAGUAUACAACAUCUCAACAUGUCUUCCAAAAUCUGAAUUACCCGCUCUGAUUGCCCAUCAGUCUGAGGAUGAAAAGCGGUACUAAAAUUUAGCUUUGUGCCUAAAGCUUCCUGUAGUUUGCUCCAAAACCUCGAUGUAAACCUUGGAUCUUGAUCCGAAAUAAUGGAUGUUGGAACCCCAUGUAACCUCACAAUCUCAGAAGUACAGUUCUCCUAACUUCUCCGGUGGAAAAUCUGUUCUGACUGGAAUAAAAUGUGCUGAUUUUGUCAAUCUAUCAACAAUUACCCAGAUUGAAUCUUUCUUCUUCGGGGUCACAGGUAACCGGAUACAAAAUCCAUCGUAACAUGUUCCCACUUCCACUCUGGAAUCAUAAUAGGUUGUAAUAAACCCGUUGGUACCUGAUGUUCUGCUUUCACCUGUAGACAUAUUAAACACUUUGCUACAAACUCACAAAUUUCCCUUUUCAUACCAAGCCACCAAUACAUCUGUUUCAAAUCACAAUACAUUUUUGUACUUCCAGGGUGAAUAGAAUACCUACUACUGUGAGCUUCAGAAAGAAUAUCAUUUUUCAAGUCUGAAUUAUUUGGAAUGCAAAUUCUUUUACGAUAGUAUAACAUACCAUUCUCAUCAAUGUUAUACUCUGAAUCCUGCUUGUCUCGAGCUAUUUGUUUCUUUAAUACCAAUUUUGAAUCUUCAUCUUGCAACUCCCGAAUUCGUUGGAGAAACACAGGUUUGGCUUUAAAUUCCGCUAUUACAAAUCCAUCUUCACUAACAAACAAAUGGGCAUUCAUUGACCGGAGUGCGAACAAAGAUGAUUUCCGACUGAGUGCGUCCGCAACUAUAUUAGCCUUCCCCGGAUGAUAAUCGAUAACAAGGUCAUAAUCUUUUAAUAACUCGAGCCAUCUUCUCUGUCUCAAAUUCAACUCUUUCUGCGUCAUCAAAUACUUCAAACUUUUAUGAUCUAUAUAAACAUAACAUUUUUCACCAUAUAAAUAAUGUCUCCAAAUUUUCAAAGCAAAAACAAUUGCAGCCAACUCCAAAUCAUGUGUAGGAUAAUUCUUCUCAUGUGAUUUUAGCUGCCGAGAAGCAUAGGCCACCACUUUUCCCGACUGCAUCAGCACACAACCUAAACCAUUCAAAGAUGCAUCACUGUAUACAACAUAUGGCACACCUGAUUCUGGUUGAGUCAACACUGGAGCUUUUGUCAACAUAUUCUUCAAUUGAUCGAAACUUUGCUGGCAUUCGUUAGACCACACAAACUCAACAUUUUUCUGUAGCAAUCGUGUCAUAGGCGAAGCAAUCAUUGAAAUUUUUUUAAUAAAACGGCGAUAAUAUCCAUUUAAACCCAGAAAACUUCGUACUUCCGUUACAUUCUUUGGAGUUUUCCAAUUUACCACUGCAGAUACUUUAUUCGAAUCUACUCGAAUCCCUUCGGCUGAAACAAUGUGACCCAGAAAUCCCACCUCAUGAAGCCAAAAUUCAUAUUUGCUGAAUUUUGCAUAUAAUUUCUUUUCUCACAAAGUUUGUAACACUAUCCUCAAAUGUUGGGCAUGCUCCGGUUCUGUCUUUGAAUAGAUCAGUAUAUCAUCAAUAAACACAACUACAAAUCUAUCCAAAUAAGGCUAAAAAAUCCGAUUCAUUAAGUCCAUAAAUGCAGCAGGGGCAUUAGUUAAACCAAAAGGCAUUACCAAAAACUCGUAAUGACCAUACCGAGUUCUGAAGGCAGUUUUCGGCACAUCACAUUCUUUAACUUUCAGUUGAUAAUAUCCGGAUCGAAGAUCUAUCUUUGAAAACACAGCAGCACCUUUCAACUGAUCAAACAAAUCAUCAAUGCGAGGCAAAGGAUAUUUAUUUUUAAUUGUAACCCUGUUUAGCUGCCUGUAGUCUAUGCACAGUCUUAGAGAUCCGUCUUUCUUUUUCACGGACAAAACUGGUGCACCCCAAGGUGACAUACUCGGUCUAAUAAAUCCUUUGUCUAGUAAUUCCUGCAACUGUGUCUUUAGCUCUUUUAACUCAGCUGGUGCCAUACGGUAUGGUGUCAUUGAUAUAGGAGCUGUCCCCGGUACUACAUCAAUCACAAAUUCAACUUCCCGAUCUAGUGGUAAACUCGGUAAUUCUUCAGGAAAUACGUCAGGAAAUUCAUUAACAACCUGCAACUGUUCUAGUUUUGGUUCAGAUCCUUGAGUAUCAAGGAUGUAAGCUAAAAAUACUUCAUUACCCUUCCGCAUUAACCUCUGAGCCAAAAAAGAUGAAAUAAUUUUAACAACAUCAUUUGAAUUCUCAGGCUCAACAGAAAGUAUAUCACCUGUCCGACAUUUCAAACUGAUCCGCUUCUCACGACAAUUUACCACAACAUCAUAUUUUGUCAACCAAUCCAUUCCCAAUAUAACAUUAAAUUCCCGAAAAGGUAGCAACAUUAAAUCAACAGGGAACUCACAGCCUUUUAUUUUCAGUGGACAAUUUCGACACACUAAAUUUACCAUCAUCUUUUGUCCUAACGGAUUAGUAACUUGAAUAUCAUAUUCAGUUGGUUCAACUGACAAUUUCUUUUCUAAUGCUAAUACUGUGCAAAUAUAAGAAUGUGUACACCCUGGGUCAAUUAAUGCAUAUACAAUAACAUCAAAGAGAUAGAAAGUACUAGCAAUAACGUCUGGAGUCGUGGCUUCUUUCUAGCUCGGAUGGCAUAUGUACGUGCUGGUGCUCUAACCUCAGACCGAGCAACAGAAUCUUUUGCACUCGAGCGAAUAGCUCUUGCAGCACUGCUUUGACUCGCAUGUUUACUUCUCUGAGAAGUAGUCAUCUGUUUCUCCUUCGUUCUUCUUCAUCUUUUUGUAACAGAGGACGAUUUCGGAUAAAAUGAUCAGUAGCUCCACAUUUGUAGCAAGCUCCUAUUUUACCUCUGCAUUCACCCAAGUGGUAUUUUCCACAGUGUUGACAUUUAGACCUGGGAGUAUUUUGUACACUGGCUUCACUAGCAAUUGAUCUGAUUGAUAUUCCACGAUCAGGUUGAGUUACUCUAGUCUUCGAUCAUUCAAGUACCGAUGUAGCUCUAAUGGAAUCCUCCUUAAACUUUUUAAUCGGAAAUGCUGAAAAUGUUUUGGAGGAGCUUCUUUUAUAAGAUUCUUUAUUUCUUCUUUCUCGUUGCAUCUUUCUGUUGUACACUUCUUCCAUCUUUUGAGCUCGAUCGGAUAAAACCACAAAUUCUCAAAUUCCGUACCACCUAUUAUCAUUCUGAUUUCAUCAUUCAGACCUUCUUCAAAUCAAACACACAUGUCUUCUUCUGUAGGAACAAUCUCUCGAGCAUAUUUGCUAAGGUAUACAAACUCCCUCUCAUACUCAGCUACUGUCCGAUUUCCCUAUCGAAGAUCAAGAAAUUCUCUCUUUUUCUUUUCUAAAUAUCUUUUACCAACAUAUUUCUUUUUAAACUUAGCUUGGAAAAAUUCCCAAGUAAGUUUAUCGGCUGGUACCACAGCUUCUAUUGUCUCCCACCAGUGAUAUGCUUCUUCUUUUAACAAGGAAACAGCACACCUUAAAUAGUCAUAUGGAGAACAAGCCAUUUGUUUAAAAACUCUUAUCGUGCUAUGCAACCAAUACUCAGCUUUUAUUGGAUCAUCAUCUAACCUGCCCCGAAAUUCUUCAGCCCCAAAUUUUCUGAGUUUUUCUACCGGAGUUCUCUUACUUGAUUCAGUUGCUGGAGGAGGUGGAGGAGAAAUCGAGGAUAUUACUGGUGGGACUGUAGGGGGAGAAGGUUGUUGGGUCUAAUUCCUUUCCUGCAUCCUCUCAUUAUACCACUGAUUCAUUACUCCAAUAAUCAUGUUUCUAAGUUCUUGUUCUCGCAUCAAGGAAGUUGGAACAUCGCUACUUGUCCCUUGUUCAGAUGUCUGUACUCUACUAUUUGCUUCUUCUUAUUCAGUAUGUUCAGGUCUAUCCGACAUCUUUAAAAUCUAUUAAAAAAAAUAAGGGUUAAAUCGGAUCAUACACAUCACACUAUAACAGAUUUAUAUGGCAUGUAUUUCUAAACAUUUUACGUAUCAUGUUUAUUCCGAGAAUCGGCUAAACCGGGCUCUGAUACCAAUAAAUGUAACACCCUCUAAUCCUAAUCCGUCGUCGGAAUAGGGUUACGAGGCGUUACCGAAUAUAUUGGUUAAUUUACAAACAAUUCAUGAAUAAAUAACAAAUAUAUUAAAAUUAAAUCAUUAAAUCUCUUUUAUGAACUCUCGAGGCCUAAAUCACGUAUUAUAAAUGAAUAGGGACUUAUUCAAGUACUCCGAAAAUUUUUCGUAAUAUAAUAAUAAUUAUAUAUUUUUUUAAAAAAAACUCAAUAUAACCCCUUUUGAAACAUCUAAACUUCCCUACAAUUUCAAAUUUGCAACUAACUCAACACAACAACAACUCAACAAAUACAAUCUUCAUCCAAAUCACAUUCGUCUUAUAACAAUAUCACUAAUCCUUAUUUUAUCUAACAUUAUAUCCAUUCAUACUUUCAAGUAGUAUUUAAACAUCUUAAUUAAUUUCCAUUCAUAUCAUAUAUCAACUUAUAUUAACUAAACUAAUAUAUUCAUGAGUUGAUACAAAACAUAGUCACAUAAGCUCCUAUACAUGCCAUAUAAACCAUUUAAAGUAUUUAUAACAAAAUCUACCGGAAAAUCGAGAUAGUGUGACUUGAGUGUGAUGAUCCGAUCCUCUGACCUUCCCGUUAAUCUACAAAGAGCAAUAAACAUUACAGGUAAGCUAACUAUAGCUUAGUAAGUUCGUCGGCUUAAACCAUAAACCUUACCAAUAUUAGUUUCAAAAAUUCAAAUCAUAUGGACAUUUCAAGUAAGUUACUUUCAUCCUGUAAAUCAUAAUUUCAUUUUAAAAAUAAUUUACUUAAUUGAGCUAAAAAAUAAUGAUAACAUUAUUUACAUUUCUUUUUCCACACGUUACAAUUACGACUUACCGACUUGUCAAUUUAAGGAACGACUUACAGAUUUGAGUACAUCGAGAUCUGAAACCCGAAAUCUAACUGAAGCACAUAAGUGCUAAAUGGAAGCCCGAAGGCUAACUGAAGCACAUAAGUGCUAAACAGAAGCCCGGAGGCUAACUGAAGCUCAUCAGAGCUGAACUGAAACCCCAAAAGGGUUAAUUGAAACUCAUAUGAGCUAACGGAAGCUCGUAAGAGCUAAACAAAAAGCAAACACGAGAGUUCGCAACAAAUGCUGAAUCCUGGUUUACUUGGGUAAUUUACCGUCAAUUCGUCUUUUUCAUCGAACGUUCGUACUCAUUUCCUGCAUUCCGUUCCUCCGAAAUACUCAGUUCAAUUUCGUAACUUUUGUACAUGAUUUAAUUAUUUUCAACAAUUAACAUACAUAAAUAUUAAUCACCAUUCAUAAAAUAAUAUUGAAAUUUAAUAAUUUAAUCGUACAAACUUACCCGGAAUAAUUUGCAGUAGUUGUAGAGAUUUCUGGAACUAUUCCGGAAUUUUCCCUUUUCCUCGUUUAUCCUCGAUUUCUUAAUCUAUAAUAUAAAAUUUUUCACUUAUCAGUAUUGACUUCACAUUCAUUCUAUUUCACGUCCUUAAUGUUUAUAACUCGCUUAUAAGUAACAUUAUCUGGAAUUUCACUAUUUAUCUAUGUAUAUUCAAUGCUGUCCAUCAGUGUCAUAGUCACUAAAUUAUUUUUAUCUUGAGUUACAGAACUCAAAAUUAGGAUCCGCUAAUUUUAUCUAAAACUAGACUCACAUAUCUUCUUAUCAUAAAAUUUUCAGAAUUUUUCGUUAAGCCAAUAAGUACAGUUUAUUUUUUAAAGUCACCCAUGUUCUGCUGUCUGUCAAUUCCGACCCUUCUUCACUAAAAAUUAAUUAUCUCUUCGUAAAAAAUUCGGGUGAUGUCCAUGUUUGUUUCAAUUGAAAAUAGAUUCAUUAAAGAUUUUAAAAAUAUAAAUUGAAGCCCCUAAUUAUUUUUAUCAAAUAUUUUAUGAUUUUCCAAAGUCAGAACAGGGGAACCCGAAAUCAUUCUGAAAUUGUCUCACAAAAUCUAUUAUAUCUCAUGAUCUACAACUCCGUUGCUUACACCGUUUCUUGUAUGAGAAACUAGACUCAAUAAGAUUUAAUUUCAUAUUUUUUCAUCUUUUAAUUCGAUUUCUACAAUUUAUGGUGAUUUUUCAAAGUUAGACUAUUGCUGCUGUCCAAAACUGUUUUAGUGCAAAUGUUGAUUUCGAUUUUUGCCCCAAAUUUCACAGUUCAUACAAUUCAGUCCUUACUCAAUUAAUCCCUCAAUGAAGCUAAUUUUUCCUAAUUAAUGCUUUACCUAGACAUUAUAAGUUAUUUCACAAUUAUUUAAAUUCAUAAUUUCCACAUAAAACCCUAACUUCAAACUAUUUCACCAUUAGGUCCCAAACAUUCACUUUCUAUUCAAUUCUUUCAAUAAAAUCAGCAUAUAAACAAUUUAAAACUCUAAUUCCAUGCUAAAUCAUCAUAUACUUCCAGCACAUAUUCAUAGAAACUUCUAAUUUCUUUCAUAGAAUCAAAAACUAAUGAAUUCAACAAGUGGACCUAGUUGUAAAAGUCAUAAAAACACAACAAUUUCAAGAAAUAAUCAAGAAUUGAGCUUACUUGCAGUAAAAAUAUGAAAAAACAGAUUAAUAAAACCCUUAUAUGGUGUUUUUUUUCUGAUGAGAAUGCAGAAAAAUAAUGAGAAAUCUAGAUAAUUCCACUUUAGUCCUAGGUUUAUUAAGUAAAUUUUGCAAUAUUCCAAUUUUUCCCUUAAUCCAUCAAUUUUCCUGCUGAUUUCAUGCCUCUUGCCGUCCAGCCCAAAUAGACCUUGGGUCUUUUUGCCUUUUAAACCCUCUUUCUUUUAUCAUUUAAGUUAUUUAAUCAUUUCCUAUAAUUUUACAUUUGUUACAAUUUAAUCCUUUUUAUUCAAUUAACUAUCGAAACUUUAAAAUUUCUUAACGAAACUUUAACCCUAACUUAUUAACACUCCAUAAAUAUUUAUAAAAAUAUUUAUGACUCGUUUUAAAAUUUUCAAACUCUCGAUAUCUCAUAUCCGAUUCUAAUUUUUAAAAUUUUUAUUUUUAGUACACUAUUUGCUAUUUCAAAAAUUUUCCUAACUUCACACUAACUUAUAUUCACUAAAUUAUUAAUAUUUUCUACUCAUUUUUCAGAUUUAGUGAUCUCGAAUCACUGUUCCGACACCACUGAAAAUUUAGGCUAUUACAUUUCUCAUCACUUUCUCUUAUUUUCUCUUCACUAACAUAUCAAGAACAUAAGACCUUAUAAAAGAAAACUCUACUAUAACAUUAUUUCCAUGCUUUGUCAAUAAUAACAAACUUAAAAACAUAUUGAAAUCUUGAUAUACUUACCUUGUUCUAUUGAUACUAAUCUUUAACUUGAUUUUCUCUCUCCUCCAGCUUCUAUUUCUUGAAUCCAACUUGAUAUUCUAACUCCCCAUGGUCUCCUUAACAUUUUUCUCUCUUAGUAGCUAUGGAAAUUCUUUUGAUUUCUAGGUGAAAAUGGUGAAUUUUUUUGGUGGAAGGACCAAAUUGUAAAGAAAAGAAAAUUUCAUUCUUUUCCUUCUCUUCUAACGUUAGUUGCAUGCAUGGAAAGAUGAUGAAAAUUCUUCAUCUUUCCUUCCUUUUAUACUAAAUAAUUAAUAAUGAAAUAAUAAUAAAAUAAUAAAAUAUCUCAUUAAAAUAAUAUAUAUCUAAUUAAAUAAUCAUAAAAUAUCAUCAAAAUCAUCAUUACUUUCUAGAUUUCUCUCUCUUCCAAUUGACCAUUUUGCCCUUUAUUAUCUUUUAAGAUUCCAUCCUUGAGUCAUCAUUUAAUUUGGCUAAAUUGCAAUUUAGUCCCUCAUAGUUCUUCACCUAUUCAAUUUGGUCCUAAUUCAUCCAUUUUCCUUAGUUUCUAGAUCAUUCCACUCUUAAAAUAUUUACACUAUUGGUCCUUCAACUUUUUCAUAUUUACACUUUAACCCUUCAAAUUUUGAGUAUUUACUCUUGUACAACAAAACUUUUCUCACUUUUACAAUUUAGUCCUUUCUUGAAUUAAUAUAUCAUAAUAUACUUCUCAAUAUUGACAUAACUUAAAAUUUCCCUUUUUUUCAUUUUAUUUCCUUAUUUUACUAUAUCAAGGAUAAUAUCUUAUUGUAAAAAUUUUCAGGGUAUUACAGAAUCCAUUCUGCUUCAUCUAGUUUUAUCUUCGACAAAAUUCGGAGAGAAGGUAUUUCUACUUCAAUAGGUAACACUGCCUCCAUUCCAUAUACCAACGAAAAAGGAGUUGCCCCAAUAGAGGUUCUGAUGGACGUUCGAUAAGCUAAGAGUACAAAUGGUAACUUCUCAUGCCAAUCUCUGUAGGUUUCAGUCAUUUUCCCCACUAUCCUCUUGAUAUUCUUAUUUGCUGCUUCUACUGCCCCAUUCAUUUUUGGGCGAUACGGAGAAGAGUUAUGAUGCUUAAUCUUGAACUGACUGCAAACUUCUGCUAUGGUUUUGUUGUUCAAGUUCAAUGCAUUGUCUGAUAUGAUCCUUUCAGGCAUCCCAUACCGACAAAUGAUCUCUUUCUUCAAGAAUCGACUCAUAGCCGACUUAGUAACAUUCGCACAAGAAGCAGCCUUUAUCUACUUUGUUAAGUAAUCAGUGACCACAAAGAUAAAGCGAUGCCCAUUUGAAGCUUUUGGUGAUAUUGGCCCAAUGACAUCCAUGCCCCACAUGGAAAAAGGCUAUGGAGAAGUCGUAACAUGUAGAGGUGAAGGUGGUACAUGAAUCUUGUCUCCAUAAAUCUAACAUUUAUGGCAUUUCUUGGCGUAGUUGAUACAAUCCCCUUCCAUAGUAGACCAAUAAUAUCCAAACCUCAUGAUUUGUCUAGCCAUUGUGAAACCAUUAGUGUGCGUCCCACAAACACCCUCGUGAACUUCUUCCAAGAUUAACUUAGCUUCCACGGCGUCAACACAUCUCAAUAGUACUUGGUCCUUUCUUCUUUUGUACAAGAUGUCCCCAUCCAAAACGAAGUCGCAGGCUAAUCUCCUUAAAGUUCGCUUAUCGUUUUCAGUUGCCUGUUCUGGGUAUUUACGAUCUCUCACAUAUUGCAAUAUAUCCUGAUACCAAGGGUUAUCAUCCUUUUCUUCUUCCUCAAUGUUACAACAGCGAUCUGGAGCCUCAAAGAUACUCAUCUGAAUGAGUCUCAUCUCCUCCUCUUUAUUUGCUUUAAUCAUUGAAGCCAAGGUUGCUAGAGCAUCUGCCAUCUGGUUUUCAUCUCGUGGGAUAUAAUUGAAAGUGAUGUCAUCAAAUUCCUCAAGUAAUCUCAAAACUACCUUUCGAUAAUUGAUCAAUUUAUGAUCCCUUGUCUCCCAUUCACCUCUAAGUUGGUAAAUUACCAACGCAGAAUCUCUAUAUACUUCCAAGGUUUUUAUUCCUCGCUCUAUACCCGCUCGGAGUCCCAUGAUGCACGCUUCAUACUCGGCCAUAUUGUUUGUACAAUCAAAAUCCAAGUUGCACGUGAAUGGAUAAUGAUCACCAUUUGGGGAUACCAAGAUUGCCCCAAUUCUAUUUCCCACCUCAUUGGAUGCCCCAUCAAAGCUUAACUUCCAAGUACAAUCCUCUGUAGUUGCUAUACACAUCAACUCCUCAUUUGGGAACUCGAAAUUCAACGGCUCAUAGUCCUCUAGAGCUCUACUAGCCAGAAAUUCCGCUAUCGCGCUUCCUUUUAUAGCCUUCUAGCUCACAUAGACUAUGUCAAACUCUAAAAGCAGAAUUUGCCACCUCGCCAUUCUCCCAUUCAAAGCUGUCGACUCCAUCAUAUACUUCAAACGAUCAAGUUUUGAAAUAAGCCAAGUAGUAUGAUAUAGCAUGUACUGUCUUAACCUUCGAGUCGUCCAGAUUAAAGUACAACAUAAUUUCUCAAUUGGCGAAUAUCUCAUCUCACACUCUAUGAAUUUCUUGCUGAGGUAGUAUAUUGCCUUCUCUUUUCUUCCCGAUUCGUCAUGUUGACCAAGCACACAUCCCAUAGAAUUACUAAACACUGAUAAGUACAGAAUUAAUGGUUUAUCCGGACUAGAUGGGGAUAGUACUGGAGCGUUUAGCAGGUAUUGCUUGACUUUGUCAAAGGCAUUCUGGCAUUCCUCAUUCCAAGUACCUUGGUUGUGUUUUUUAAGGAGGCAAAAUAUAGGAUCACAUUUCUCAGUUAAUUGUGAAAUUGUAAUGACCCAAAUUUUUACAGUUAUCAAAAAAGUGCAUUUUCGGGUCUCCGUUUCUAAAAAAAUAGAUUUGUAAAUAUUUAUUAAAAAUAUUUACGAAGUUAAGAGAGUGAUUAAUUAAAGUUUAAUGAAGCAAAUUAGCUUAAAUAAAGGAUAAUUAGAUAAAAGGAUUAAAUUGAAUGAAGUGUGAAAGUUUAAUUAUAGAAUAAAGAAAAUUAAAAGGACUAAAUAAGAAAUAAACCAAAAAGAGUGCCAAGUGUAUGGCAAAAAUAAAAUACAAGUAUAAUAAAUAUAAUACACACAUUUGUAAUACAUAUAUUUAUUUGCUUAUUAUUUAAGUAAAUAUUAAUGUAUUUAUUAUUAUUAAAUUACUAUUAUAUGAUAAAUAAAUAAAAAAGUUGACAAAUGUAUGGUAUGUAUAGUGACAUGUGUGAUACUAAUAUACAUACAUUUGUAAAAUACAUGUAUAUUUACUUAUUAUAUAAGUAUAUUAUUAAAUUAUAUAUUAUUAUUAAGUAAAAUAUAUUUAUAUAAUAAAUAGAUUAAAGAAAGACAAAUGUAAUAAUAUAUGUGUAUACAAAUGUAAAAUAGAUAUUGGAUAUUAAAUAGAUAUUUUAUUAUAACUAUUAUUAAGUUAUUAUAAUAUAUAUAAAGUAAAAGAAAUAAAAAGAAAAAGUAUAGAAAAAGAAAGAAAGGAUGAAACGAAAUAGAGAGCAGGGGAAAGAAAGAAGGAAAAAAAAAGAAAGAAGGAAAAAGGGAAAAAUUGGGAUUUCAAGGCUUGAAAGUUAAAUAGGCAAGUCAAUUUAGCCCUUUUUACUUAAUUUUGAUGUUUUGGAAGCUUUGGGACAAGGUUUUGAUGAAAUUAAGUGAAUAUUUUGAAAGUUAUUAGAUUUUUAAAUAUUGUUCAUGUUGAAUAAAAAGAUGAAUUAGGGGUUAGAUUGAUAGGAAUUCAAGUUAGAAAUGAAAUAAGGAUUGAAUUGUAAAUGAAUUCAUAAGUUUUAUGUUGUAGGGACUAAAUUGAUAAAAUUUCAAAAUUAGGAAAAUAUGCUGGAAAUUUAAUAGUUAAGUAUGAGUUUAGUUAAAAAUUGAGUAGAAAUAAAGUAUGAAUUAAGAUAGAAAAGUAAGUGAAUUUAGUUAGGAUUAAAUUGAAAUUAAAAGUAGAAAAUCAACAUUUUGCACUAAGACUAUUUUGGACAGCAGCAGUAUUCUAAGUUUUAAAAAUCACCAAAAAUUGUAGAAAUUGAAUUAGAGAAUUAAUAAAAUAUGGAAUUAAAUCUUAUUGAGUCUAGUUUCUUAUAGAAGAAACGGUGUAAGCAAUUGAAUUGUAAAUUAUGAGAUAUAAUGAAUUUUGUGAGACAAGGUCAGAAUGAAUUCGGGUUCCCCUGUUCUGACUUUGAAAUAUCACAACAAAUUGAAGAAAAAUAAUUAGAGGCUUAAAGUUAUAUUUUUAGAAUUUAUAAUGAAUCUAUUUUCAGGAGAAAUCAACGGGAAUAUUAUCCGAGUUCUGUACUGUGAGAUAAUUAAUUUUUAGUGAAGAAGGGUCGGAACUGUCAGACAGCAGAAUAGGGGUGAAUUUAAAGAAUAAACUGUACCUAAUGGCUAAACUAAAAAUUCUGAAAAUUUUAUGGUAAGAAGAUAUAUGAGUCUAGUUUCAGGGAAAAUUAACGGAUCUUAAUUUAUAGUUCUGUAGCUCGAGUUAUAAAUAACUUAGUGAGUAUGACACAGAUGGACAACUUGAAUAUUCAUAAAAGUAAAUAAUAAAAAUUAUAGAUAAUGUUACUGACAAGUGUGUUAUAUACACUAAGGAUGUGGAAUGGAGAGGAGGAGGAGGAAAAAUAUGUAUGAAUAUUCAUCUAGCAUGGCUAAUUUGCAUGUUUUAGGCUCAGGGACUAAAUUGAAUAAAAGUAAAACUUUAUUGGUAAUUUUGUAAAAAUGUCAGAAAUGACCAAAUUGCAUGAAAUGGAUUAUUUUAUUAUUCUCACAGAUGGGCAGCUUGAAUAUUCAUAAAAGUAAAUAAUAAAAAUUAUAGAUAAUGUUAUUUACAAGUGUGUUAUAUACACUAAGGAUGUGGAAUGGAGAGGAGGAGGAGGAAAAAUAUGUAUGAAUAUUCAUCUAGCAUGGCUAAUUUGCAUGUUUUAGGCUCAGGGACUAAAUUGAAUAAAAGUAAAACUUUAUGGGUAAUUUUGUAAAAAUUCAGAAAUGACCAAAUUGCAUGAAAUGGAUUAUUUUAUUACUUAAAUUACAAAAUUGAAUGAAAUUAUUAAUUUAGUUCAAGAUCGGGGGAAAACAUGUUUUAGGGAUUAAAUUGAAAAGUGUUGAAAUUAUGGAAAAUUCUGAUAUUUUAUAGAAUUCAUGAAUUGUUAUCAAUAUGUAUGAGAAUAAUAUCUAGAAAUAAGGAUUAAAUUGCAAGUAUUUUAUUUUCCUGACCCUAAGGAUGAAAUCGUCAUUAAUUAAAAGUUUAGGGGCAAAAUGGUAAUUUUGCCUAGAGCAUUAAUUAAAUGCACUAGAAUAUGAAAUGAAUGAAAAUGAUGAUCAAAUUUAUUUAUAAAGAUCCAGACGACUCAAAUACGAGACUUGAUCGUGGAAAAUAAAAAUAUCGAAUUAAUGAAAUUAUAAACACAAACAAGCAAUGAGGUAAGUUUGUGUAACUUGAAUUGUAUUUUUAAAUACUUGAAAUAUGUGGUUAUGUGAUGAAAAUAUGAUUUGAAUGUUCAAUUCAUGAUAAUUGAUGAAAUAUUGAUAAUACUCGAUAUAAAUUGAAAAUAAAUCCCGAUUAAAUGGAAUGGAAUUCGAUGGAUCAUUGGAAAAGGAAUUGACGGUCAAAAGGAUCUAGCCCGGACGGGUGAUCCUAUUCUGAUAUAGCCCUCCCAAAGAAUACGUGUAAAAUGGAUUUAGCCCGGAUGGGUAAUCCGAAUUAGGGUCUGAAUUUAGCCUGGACUAGUAAUUCAGAUCCAAGCUCAUUAGAGUAAUUGUCGUUGCAGGGGAUUUAGCCUGGACUGGUAAUCCCGACAAUACUCUAUGAGUUUAUAUUACAGGGGAUUUAGCCUGGACUGGUAAUCCCGCUGUAAGGAUUAGGUUCGCGGGAGUGUGCUUUCUGAAAUAAAAUGUGUAAGACCAUGGUUGAAAGAUACCAUGGCAACAUGAUAUAAAAUGUGUAAGACUAUGGUUGAAAGAUACCAUGGUAACAUGAUGAAAUGUGUAAGACCAUGGUUGAAAGAUACCAUGGCAACAUGAUAUAAAAUGUGUAACACCAUGGUUGAAAGAUACCAUGGCAACAUGAUAUAAAAUGUGUAAGACCAUGGUUGAAAGAUACCAUGGCAACCUGAAAUGAAAAGAAUAAGACCAUGGUUGAAAGAUACCAUGGCAACAUGACAGAAAAUGAAUGAGUAAGACCAUAGUUGAAAGACACUAUGGCAUCAUGUCAAAGAUAAAUAAGACCGUGGAUGGGAGACGCUAUGACAUCUAUUGAACAAUUAAUAUUCAGGUAAUACUUAUCAGAUGACGAAUGGUUAUAUGAAAUGGUUGUGUGAAAUGUUUACAAUAACUGGUCAUAUGGAAAUAUAUGUACAAAAUAGUUGUAUGAAAUAAUUAUGAAGAUAAAUAAACGAAAUAAGUAUAAGUACAUGGAAUAUAAUUAUGUCAAGUUUGAUAUAAACUAUUACCGGAAUAAAUAUACAUAAAAUAUAUGGAAAUGAUGGAGCAUGAAAUAUUGAUAUAAUGAAAUGAAUGAUAUAUGCUUAUGAAGAAACGGUAAGAGCAUGAUAUGUUUCAUGACAUGUACAUAUAUGAUUAUCUUUGAUAUGUUGAUACAAGGAAAUUAUGUAAGUUAAGACUAUUAUUAAACUCAAGUGCGAUAUGUAGAGAAAAUAAGUAUAUCAAUGCUGAAUUUAGAUGAAAUGUGUGCAAGUAUACUAACAAUGAUGUUGUUUGACGCUUAGACAAGUGCCAAACUAUUGAUUGAACGUAACAUGUUUAAUUAUAAGGAGCAUUGAAAUAGUAAGUACUUAGAUGAAAAUAAAAUUUAAGAUUUUGCGAAAUUUUUUUUAUAAUCCCGAUUUAAUUCCAGUUGGUUUUUAAUGUAUGUUUGGGGCUUCGAAGGCCCAAUAGAGAGACGUUAUGAUUAUUUUUAAAAUAUGAAUAAUAAAUGACUCAGAAUUAUCUGAAAAUGUUCAGUAAACUCCGGUAAUGCCUCGUACCCUAUUCCGGAAAUGGAUAUGAGUAGGGGUGUUACAGAAAUAAACCGAGCAAUAUAAUUCAACCUUCCAAGAAAACCCUGAACUUCCUUCCGAGUACGUGGUAGAGGCAAAUCUCGUAUGGCUCUAACUUUGUCUGAGUCAACUUCUAUUCCCUUUUCGCUGACCACAAAGCCGAGUAAUUUCCCCGACCUAGCUCCAAAAGUGCACUUUGCUGGAUUAAGUUUUAACUGAAACUUUCGUAAUCUCAGGAACAGCUUCCUCAAAACUUCAAUAUGUUCCUCCUCCGUUCGAGAUUUGACAAUCAUAUCAUCAACAUACACCUCAAUUUCUUUGUGCAUCAUAUCAUGGAAUAAGUUCACCAUAGCCCGUUGGUAUGUUGCCCCUGCAUUCUUUAAUCCAAACGGCAUUACUUUGUAACAAAAGGUGCCCCAUAAUGUUAUGAAUGUGGUUUUAUCCAUGUCUUCCGGAUGCAUCUUGAUCUGGUUGUACCCUGAGAAACCAUCCAUGAAGGAGAACAACGAAUAUCCCGCUGUGUUGUCUACCAAAGUGUCUAUGUGUGGCAGAGGGAAAUUAUCUUUUGGGCUAGCUUUGUUCAGAUCUCUGUAAUCAACGCACAUUCAUACCUUCCCAUCCUUCUUAGGGUCUGGUACAAUGUUAGCUACCCAUUCAGAGUACUUCACCUCUUGUAAGAAUCCUGCAUCGAACUGCUUCUUGACUUCGUCCUUUAUCUUCAAUACGAUAUCUGGUCUCAUUCUUCGCAACUUCUGUUGGAUUGGUUUACAAUCCUGUCUUAUUGGAGGACGAUGCACCACGAUAUCGGUAUUUAACCCUGGUAUAUCUUGAUAGGACCAUGCGAAGAUAUCCUUGAACUCACGUAGCAACUCAAUCAGUCCUUGCCUUGUGUCCUCAGCAAUAUGCGUGCCGAUUUUCACCUAUUUCCCUUCCUCUAGGUUUACAUUCUCUAUUGCCUCUUUCUCAUGGAGCAUGAUUUGUUUCUCCUCCUGUUUUACCAUCCUCAACAGAUCUAGAGACACAUCACAAUCCUAGACAUCCUCAAAAUCCUGAGAUUCCUCUAAACACAUGUCUUGUUCACGAGAGAAAUCAGGAUUUGUAAUAUCAGUGCUCAUGUCAUUGAUAUCUAGGGACCUGUGAAGUGUAAAGAAUGUACAAGGAAUGGAUGAAUUUAAGAAUGAUUAUUUAUGUGCUAUGAAUGAAAGUAUAAGAAUUGCAGAAGCUUAAGAGGAAUAUUGGUUGAUAAAAAAAACAAUACUCGUUCAAAUUGAUAAAAGUUAUGUUUUAUUAAAAAAAAUAAUAGAUGAUCGUAAGCCUAUCCCAUAAAUGUAAUCCUAUUACUCCUAGGCCCUAGAGUAACAAGGAUGUUUUGAAAAUUACUUUGAAAAAUUCCUAAAGACUACAUGAAGUUCCUCCACAGUCUAAUUGUUCAGAAAGCUUCCCGGUUUGUAAGGGCGAAUGCCGUCAAGGUUUCCUUGCUCUGAUCCUUCGUCGUGUAUAGCAUUAACCUGAUGACUUUCUUCUAUAAGUAACCCUCCCAAUAUGAAGGUUUGGGAUAGUGGAGGGAAUGUCAUCGGCUCUCACUCCACUUUUCUUCCAUUAUGGCGUGCCCUUCUUCCCUCUUGGCGCUUCUCAACUUCCUUCCUCCUUUGCUUAUAGUCUGGCUUGAAGCCCAAACCAAAGUGAUCUCUCUUCUCUUUCAGUUCUGGGAUUUGAGUUCCUCCUUACAGGUAUUUUCCUAACCCUCUUCCUGGUAAGGCUUCCUUUCCCACCAUCAUUUGUAGAGCCAUUCUUGCUAUCUUUGGCACCGGUGGCUCACUCCCUUCUGAAAUGAAGGUUGGAUUCACAAAUUCUAAAGUGCGAAAGGAACACUCAAUAAACUCUUCGUUCGUCUCGACAUAAGGGGCCUUACUAGUGACUGUGGCUAUAAUGUCCUCCUCUGCAUUGAUGGUUACUAACCGUCCAUCCGUCACUAACUUUAAUUUUUGGUGCAACGAUGAGGGCACUGCUCCCGCUGAAUGUAUCCAUGGCCUCCCUAAUAAGCAAUUGUAGGAGGGCUUGAUAUCCAUCACCAAGAAGUCUACUUCAUAUAUACUCGGCCCAAUUUCCAAGAGGAUGUCAAUCCCUCCUAUCACCUUCCUUUCUGUACCAUCGAAGGCUCUUACCAUAUUUUGACAUGUCUUCAUGUGAGAACCGUCAAUGGGUAAUCUGUUCAAUGUAGACAACGGUAGAACUUUCAAAGCUGAUCCAUUAUCGACGAGCACACUUGAGAGUGUGCACCCCUUGCAUCGAGUGGUGAUGUGCAAGGCCUUUGUUGACCCCCUGCCCCCUGGUGGGAUUUCAUUAUCAUUAAAGUAGAUGAAAUUAUUCGCACUUAUGUUAUUUACCAACCGGUCCAGCUUGUUAACAGAUAUGUCAUGGGUGACAUAUGUUUCAUUGAGCACCCUUAGCAAUGCAUUUCGAUGCACCUCAGAACUCAGAAGUAGAGCCAAUACUGAUAUGCGAGCCGGCUGCCUACGCAACUGUUCGACCACACUAUACUUGCUAUGGUUAAGGAACUUUAGAAAUUCCUUAGCCUUCUCCUCUUUUACUAGCUCCUUAACAGGCACUUCAGCCUCUUUUUCCUUCUCCGCACUAACAUUCUUUAAUUUUGUAGGCUCCUCUUUGACGCCCACCAUAUCAUACCGCUUCCCACUCCGUGUAUGGGGACCCUCAACUUGUACAUCUUUAGACGUACUAACUAUAUUCUCCUCCUCCGGCACUGUCACACUGCAGCCAUAGCUCCAUGGUACCCUAUUGCUAUCCUUAUAAGGGAAAGGCGUAGGCUUAUGGAUAAUGACCUUAGGCUCUGUGUAUGCCCCCACUUCAUUAUUCCUCAGCAGGGAAAUAAUAAUCCUUGGCCAGCUAGUUCCUUUCUGUUUAUCCUCCAGCACACACAGCUAGUUCCUUUUUGUUUAUCCUCCAGCACACAUACUUAUUUUUCACAAGAGCUACCUUAAAAAAAUUGUAGUUCUUUAUUGUCUAUAAAGCUUUGCACCAAGGCCUUGAAUUCUUCACAAUCUUGAACUUCAUGUCCUUCUUUCUCAUGGAACUCACCAUAAUUCCUUGUUUCUCUUCUCUCAUUUUUAGAGGUUAACAUGCCUCUCUUCAUCAUCUCCUCCCAAAUCACCUUCAUAGGCAUCCUCACCUCAGCAACAUCUUCCUUCAUUCUUCUCUCACUGGCUUCGCUAAUGGCAUUCACUCCUUGAUCGCUAUGAUUUGGCAACGAAUUUUUAGUAUUAGGGGUAUUGUAGAACUUCACUACCCCCAUCUUAAUAAGCCUCUCUACGGCCUUCUUAAAACAUGUACAGUUUUCGAUCGAAUGUCCCGGUAUUCCAGCAUGGUAUUCGCAUCUGGCGUUUGCAUCGUACCAUUUGAGAUAUGGGGGCUGCAGUGGUUUCAAAUGAAAAGAAGAAAUAGCAUGUGCAUCGUAUAAGCUUUGAUAAAGCUCACGAUACGUGACGGGGAUAGGCGUGAACUGCAUCCUUUCAGAACUCUGCCUUGUACCCAAUUCCUGCCUUUGAUAACUCUGUUGCUUAACCGCAGCUGUUUUAAGUUGACCAACGAUGAUUGCCUUCGCGUUGAAGGUGCUUGUGUUAUUCACUUCACUAUCCUUUCUCCUUGGAGCCGAUCUUUUGGUCGCUUCCCCCUCGAUUUUACCACCCCUUAUGGCAUUCUCGAUCAUCUCUCCCACCAUGACUAUAUUCGCGAAGCUUUUAGUGGUGCUCUCAAUCUUGUGAGUGAUGAAUGGAGCCUUUAGAGUGUUGAUGAACAACAUGGUACUCUCCUUUUCCAACAACGGUGGUUGAACUUGUAUUGCCACCUCUCUCCAUAUCUGUACAUAUUGCCUAAAAUUUUCAUUAGGCUUUUUCUCCAUGUUUUGCAGCGUGAUCCUAUCCGGAGUCAUGUCAGUCACAUGAUUGUACUGCUGCAUGAAGGCCUGUGCAAGAUUCCUCCAUGAACUUAUUCUGGCCCGGCUCAGUUGAUUAUACCACUUGGCUGCUGCUCCAAUUAAACUAUCUUGGAAACAGUGGAUCAACAGUUGAUCAUUAUUCACGUACCCAGUCAUCCUCCUACGGAACAUCUUAAUGUGGGUUUCUGGGCAAGUAGUUCCAUUGUACUUCUCAAAUUCUGGCAUCUUGAAUUUGUGAGGAAGCACCAAGUCUGGGACCAAGCUUAGAUCUUUGGCAUCAACUCUAUGAUGCCCAUCAGCAUUCUCUAAAGCCUUGAAUUUUUCCUCCAACCAUUUGCAGCAUUCUUCUAACUGUCUUGCAGCCUCAGUUCUAAAAUCCUCUUUUUCAGCCAUGUCUAAGUCAGGAAUAACAAGAUUUACAGGAUUGUCGCCCAAAUUAAAUCCCGAACCAGUUGGGAAAUUUAUGGGGAUCCCAGCAUCGACCGACCCUUGUUGAGGCCUUAUAGAGACAGACGACCUCCUAGGAAGUGCCUCAGUUGGUGUAGGCAAAUGGGGUGGGGUGAAACCUAGAGGAUGAUCCUCACCAGUAAUUGUCAUGGGAGCCUUUCCCUUAUCAGUGGCCCUCAGUAGUUGAGUCAUCUCAGCCAUCAUGUUCUUUUGAGCCUCCAACAUUUGCUCCCUCAUGUCGUUUUGCAUUUUUGCCAAUUGCUCUUUCAAUUGGUCCUGCAUGUCCUUCUGUAGCUGUUCAAAUCUUUGUUUCAUAUUCUUUGACUUAGCGUGCGUACCGUAGGGAUGUGUUGCUUCUAGAUUUUCUUUCUCUUACUCUCUUUCUCCCUAAUAAUUUUAACUAAUUAGGGUCUUUCUAUAAACUCGAAUACAUAUGAUGGAAUGAGAUGCUAUGAAAUGAAAAUGCAUGAAUGCAAAAAGAUGUCGAUUCUGAUUCAAUUUCAUUUUAGAAAACGUUAUUUAAGGAAAAAAUCUUUUCAUAAAACAGAUUACAAAUACGCUUUCGCCCGUAGGCCUAGAGUCUUAACCCUAUCUAAAAACAAUGCUAACUCUCGUCCUCUGUCUGACGAUGACUCAUACAUUAUACUCAGCGUUCUAGCUUGUACCGCCAAAUUUUGCAAGUGUUAAGUGUUCAGCGACCUCUCGAACCUGAACUAAGGCUUCUCCCAUGAGAUAAUCCCUAUUUCCAACUUGAUCCUGAAGAUGGUGAAGUUCUCCCUUCCAUUGUUCUUCUCUUGCCUUGAACUGCUCAAUCCGUAGCUCACAGUCCUGUAGUGCUGCUUCCAACCCUCCAAUAUCGUGCUUCAUUUCCUCGAUCUUAUUCAAGCUUGCCUUUAACUCGAUCACAGAGUUACGACUUUGGUGAUGAUGAAGAGAUCGUCCAAGUUCAGCCACCUUAAUUUUUAAUCCUUGAUUUUCCUUCUCUAGGGCCUGAUUACACGAUUGCUUCUCUUGAAACUUCUUCUCCCAAUACUCGGCUUUGGCUCUUUCUUCUUGAAUCUCUUGCUGCCACUGCUCGAAAGAUCUCCCUAAUCCAACCCUUUUCAACGUUACCUGGGCCUUUUUGUAGUGCGUCUUUAAAUCAUCUCGAUCUUUCUCUUUUCCUUUUUCACCUUAUCGACUUCUAUAUUUUGAAUAUCGACGUCCAGACUCAAGCACAUUUUUUCCUCUUCGAGCUUCUCAAUCCUCUUUUCAAGCUCUGAAUUCUUUCUCUCGAACUCUUGCUUCAUAACCUCCAACUCUGAUGGAAUCAAUCGUAAGCUCUCCUCUAAUGAUCGAGCCACCCCCAAAAUCGGCCUAGGGACAUUAUCGUUGACUCUCCUACUAAACCAUCUUUUAUACUCAAGGGUUGACAUCGAGCCUUCGGUCAAGAUCUUCAUACAGAAAGGCUUCUUCCAAGCCUCAGAGAUCUCUCGCAUCCUCUUUUUAUAGUGAUCUCCUUUAUAAGAGAAAUCACUCUGAGCUAGACCCUAUGUAACUGUUAUAAACUACCUCGCUCGAUAUUUCCUUAGAACAAGCAAUAAUGCAUAUCCAACCACUCCCCAAAUUCCUGGCAAAGGGACCCAAUCAAAACUACCACAGCGGUAGAGGACUUCACUAGGAACCAACCAAGGAGCCUUCCACAUAACAUCUUUCUCUCGAAGAUUCUGAAGAAUGUCUAUCCACCUUUCCUCUGAAAUGUCAUCUCUCCUAGGCAUGUCUACUGCUUCUUUUAAGGGAGAAUAACCCUUAAAGAAUACUCGGCAAGGAACCUUAUCAAGCUUCCAGAAGUGGCUAUGGAACCAGACUAGCAACAAUUGCGCACAUCCAAUAAAUCUACCUCACCGGCCCUCCAACAUGUACUCAAGGAUCUAAAUGUCUUAGCUAGGAUUGCUGGUACCGGUGUAUUUUGCUUACCGACACGAUCGAACAAAUCCGUAACUGCCUCAUCUAUGUGGCCCAACUCCUUUGGGAAAAUCACCAUGCCGUAAAUACUCAAAGCUAGGACGUCGACCCUUUUCUUUACGUCUGGAUGUGUCGAUAUCAAAUCCCUCAAAAUGGCCCAUAGAACACACUUACUAUCACCCUUUUGCUGCACACGAGCUACAGCCCAUUGCUCACUUAUCCUAGUAAUCAUCGCCAACUUCUUUGCAAAAGUUGGAAAACUAGCGGGCCUAACAUAAUCCUUGUGACCCUGAAUUGUAACACCCCUUACCCGUAUUCCUUACCGGAACAGAGUAUGAGGUAUUACUAAAUUUUUAAAAAUUUUCGACAGCAUUCCUACUUAUUUUUGCUUAAACCUCCUGCAAAUUUAGAACACAUUCCAAUAUACCAACCAAUUUCAUUUGUAUAAACACACAUAUAGUUUAACUAUUAAUAAACACUACAUUUAAAAGGGAACCAUAACAUAUAUUUACAUGAUGAUCCCACAUUACAUAAAGUGUCUAUACAUGCCAUAAAAUUUCGGAACACUAGUAGUAAAAUACCCCAAAUGUGAAGGAUAGUGUAGAUGAUUGUCUGACUUCGUUCCAAUUUCCGAGUUGUUGGAAGUCACUAUAACCAAGAGAAAAAUAAAAUCGAGUAAGCAUAUAGCUUAGUAAGUAAACACAUGAUAAAUAAGUAAUUACUCCCAUAACUACACCAAAAUAUAAACUUAUUCAUGAAUAACUUUAUUGUUUAGGCAAUUUCCAGCAAGCUGUUUUUCUGCGUCAUAGUUGCUAAUUUAUUUUUAUCUGGAGCUACAGAGCUCCAAAUUGAGUUCCGUAAAUUUUCCCUGAAACUAGACUCAUAUACCAUUUCAUCAUAAAACUUUCAGAAUUUUUAACCCAGACAAUUAGUACAGUUUAUUCAUUAAACCUUCCCCUGUUUCACUGCCCAACGGUUCUGACCCUUCCUCACUAAAAUUUACUUAACUCUCUGUACAAAAUUUGAAAAAUGGUUUUUCUUGUUUCUAAUAAAAAUAUACUCAAUAAGGAUUCCAGGGAUAUAAAUUUCAUGCCAUAAUUAUUUUUUUCAAUUUUUCGUAAUUUUCCAAAGUUAGAACAGGGGAUCUCGAAAUCAAUCCAUCCCUGUUUCAGUAAAAUUCAGAUAUCUCCAAAAAUACAACUCUUUUGCUUAUUCUAUUUCUUUCAUAUGAAAAUAGACACAUUCAGCUUCAAUUUCAUAUAUUAUUCAGCUUCCCAUUCAUUUUCCACCAUUUAUGGUGAUUUUUCAAAGUUACCCAACUGCUAUUGUUCAACACAGUUUAUAAUUAAAUCGUUCCUUUUGCGUUUUUGAUAUUUUCUCCCAUCUCAUACAUGAGUCGAUUUAGUAUUCAACUCAAUAUUUACCCCAUAAAAUUUUCCACCAUAUGGAAAUAUUCAUCUUCCACACUUUUUCGUUGAACACUUGGAAUGUUAACCGUUAUUGGUGGAUCUCGCACUUAGCACCACCGCUGAAUCGGGGAAUCAGCACUUAGCAACCCCUCGGGGGAAUCAGCACAUAGCAACCCCCUUUCACAUUUCAAAGAUAUGGUGGAUAUCGCACUUAGCACCACCAAUGAACCGGGGAAUCAGCACUUAGCAACCCCUCGGGGGAAUCAGCACAUAGCAACCCCCUUUUCACAUUUCAAAGAUAUGGUGGAUCACGCACAUAGCACCACCAAUGAAUCGGGGAAUCAGCACACAGCAACCCCUUUAUAUACAACAUACUCCGGCUUAUUCCGAGUGUUCAACCCAUAAACCAUAUAUUGCAACCCUUUACCACCUUUCCCGAUUUAACAACAUUUUUAGGAUAUGGCCAAACAUUUAUUUUAAUUCCAAAUAAAUCUCAACAUAUAUCAAAUAAUAUCAAAAUAAUACAUUAAGUCACGUGUUUACUUACCUCGGUGCAAAAUAUCGUAAUUUUGCACUUUACUCCACUAUCUUUUCUUUUCCUCGUUUGAUAUACUCUUCACGUCUUUCUUGAUUAUGGAGCUUGAAAGCUUAAAAACCCUAAAUAUGGCUUCCCCCUUGCUGAUUUCGUUCACCAUGAAGAAGAUGAGCAUAUUUUGCCAUCUUUUUCCCAUUUAAUUCUAUUUAAUAACCAAAUGACUAAAAUGCCCCCAUUUAAAAAAAAUCUAUUUCACCCAUUUCUUAUGUCUAUUUUUGUCCAUCAACUAACUAAUGGUCUAAUUACCACAUAAAGACCUCCAAUUUAAAAUUUCAUAACAAUUAGACACCUCUAAGAUGUAGAACUCAACUUUUGCACUAUUUACAAUUUAGUCCUUUUGACUAAAUUGAGUGCCCAAACGUCGAAAUUUUCGAACGAAAUUUUUACGAAAAUUUUCCGUGAAAUUGUAGAUCAUAAAAAUAUAAUAAUAACCAUAUUUUCCCUCGUCGGAUUUGUGGUCCUGAAACCACUAUUCCGACUAGGCCCAGAAUCUGGCUGUUACAACUCUCCCCCCCUUAGGGAUUUUCGUCCCCGAAAAUCUUACCGGAAAAGAGGUUUGGGUACUGUUUCCUCAUAAUUUCCUCCGGUUCCCACGUAGCCUCUUCCAUUCCAUGUUUUUGCCACAACACUUUCGCUAAGGCUACACUUUUAUUUCUUAACUGUUUGACCUCCCGAGCCAAAAUCUUUAUGGGUUCUUCUUCAUAAGUCAUAUCUGAUCGAACCUCAAUCUCUGUAGGAGAAACUAUAUGUGAAGGAUCCGAACGAUAACGUCGCAACAUCGACACAUGAAAUACAUUAUGUAUCUUUUCCAACUCUGGCGGUAAAGCUAACCGAUAUGCUACAGGGCCAACUCUCUCGGUAACUUCAUAUGGUCCAAUAAAACGUGGACUUAGUUUGCCUUUACGACCAAAUCUCAGAAUCUUCUUCCAUGGGGAUACUUUCAAGAACACUUUAUCACCCACUUGAAACUCAAUUUCUUUUCUCUUUAAAUCCGCAUACGACUUUUGCCGAUCUGAGGCAGCUUUUAGGCAAUCACGGAUUAUUUUCACCUUUUCUUCAGUUUCUUUCACCAGGUCGACUCCAUGAAUCCGAUUCUCACCGAGUUCAGUCCAAUAUAAAGGGGUUCUACAUUUACGCCCAUAUAAUGCUUCAUACGGUGCCAUUUGUAUACUUGACUGAUAACUAUUAUUAUAAGCAAAUUCAACCAGUGGUAGAUAUUUCUCCCAACUGUCCUUCAUUUCUAAAAUACAACACCGGAGCAUGUCUUCAAGAACUUGAAUCACCCUUUCUGAUUGCCCGUCAGUUUGCGGAUGAAAUGCAGUACUGAAAUUCAAUUUCGUACCCAAAGCUUCCUGUAACUUUAUCCAAAACCUCGAAGUAAAUCUCGGAUCUCUAUCCGAUAUAAUAGAUUUAGGCACCCCAUGUAGUCUCACUAUUUCAGCAACAUAUAAUUCAGCCAACCUGUCAAGUGAAUAAUCAAUGCGUAUCGGAAUAAAAUGGGCUGACUUUGUCAAUCUAUCCACAAUUACCCAAAUAGCAUCUUUCUUCUUUGGAGUUAAAGGCAAUCCUGUCACGAAAUCCAUCGUGAUACUGUCCCACUUCCAUUCUAGAAUCGUUAUCGGUUGAAGUAAACCCGAUGGCACUUGAUGCUCAGCCUUUACUUGUUGACAGAUUAAACAUUUUGUUACAAAUUUCGAGAUAUCCUUUUUUAUGCCCGGCCACCAAUACAACUUCCUCAAAUCAUUGUACAUUUUCACACUACCCGGAUGGACUGAUAAAUCACCACUGUGUGCCUCACCUAAAAUAGUCUGAAUUAGCUCAUCAUUUCUCGGUACACAUAUUCUGUCCCUGAACAUCAGGCAAUCAUCUGAACCAAUUUGAAAAUCUGAGUCAACACCUGCUUCACAUUGAGCUCUCUUGGCUUGCAAUUUACUGUCAUUCUUUUGAGAUUCCCGAAUUUGCUGAAGAAAUAACGGUCUAGCUCUCAAUUCAACCAACAUUGAGCCAUCAUCAGAUAAAGUUAACAUCGUACCCAUAGCUCUCAAAGCAAAUAAAGAUUUUCUGCUCAAGGCAUCAGCAACCACAUUAGCUUUCCCGGGGUGAUAAUCAAUCACUAGCUCAUAGUCUUUGAUUAGCUCGAGCCAUCUUCGUUGCCGCAAAUUCAAGUCUUUUUGACUCAUCAAAUAUUUCAAACUCUUAUGAUCAGUGAAGAUUCGGCACUUUUCACCAUACAAAUAAUGACGCCAAAUUUUUAAAGCAAAAACAAUGGCAGCCAAUUCUAAAUCAUGCGUCGGAUAAUUCUUCUCAUGCGGUUUCAACUGUCUCGAAGCAUAAGCUAUUACUUUGCCCUCUUGCAUUAACACACACCCAAGGCCAUUCAACGAUACAUCACUGUAAAUUACAAACUCCUUCCCGGACUCAGGUUGCACCAACACUGGCGCCUCAGUCAAUAAUGCCUUCAACUUUUCAAAACUCUGUUGACAUUUAUCGGUCCAUUCAAACUUGACAUUCUUCUGCAGUAACUUAGUCAUAGGAGAAGCAAUCAUCGAGAAUCCCUUGACAAACCGUUUGUAAUACCCAGCUAAGCCCAGGAAGCUUCUAACUUCAGUCACAUUCUUUGGUGGCUCCCAAUCAACAAUUGCUGAAAUUUUGCUUGGAUCAACCCGAAUACCUUCACUUGAAACUAUAUGUCCCAAGAAUCCAACCUCACGAAGCCAAAACUCACUUUUGCUGAAUUUAGCAUACAAUUUCUUUUCUCUCAGAAUCUGCAACACAGUUCUCAAAUGUUCCGCAUGUUCCGAUUCAUCCCGAGAAUAGAUUAAAAUAUCAUCUAUGAACACCACCACGAACUUGUCUAAGUACAGCCGAAAAAUUCGGUUCAUCAAGUCCAUAAAAAUAGCUGGAGCAUUAGUCAACCCAAAAGGCAUUACCAGAAAUUCAUAGUGUCCAUACCUCGUUCUAAAGGCGGUUUUCGGCACAUCAGACUCUUUAACUCUCAACUGAUAGUAACCAGACCUCAGAUCGAUCUUGGAGAACACUGUUGCCCCUUUUAAUUGAUCAAACAAAUCAUCAAUUCUCGGCAAAGGAUACUUGUUCUUUAUGGUCACCUUAUUGAGCUGACGAUAGUCAAUACAAAGUCUCAUAGAGCCGUCCUUCUUUUUCACAAAUAACACAGGAGCACCCCAAGGAGAAAAACUCGGUCUCACAAAUCCUUUAUCUGUCAACUCUUGUAACUGAGCUUUUAAUUCCUUCAACUCAGUCGGAGCCAUUCGAUACGGUGCAAUAGAAAUCGGUGCAGUACCAGGUAACAGAUCAAUAGAAAACUCAACUUCUCUAAUCGGAGGUAACCCAGGCAAUUCCUCUGGAAAUACAUCUGGAAAUUCACAGACUACCGGCACUGAUUCAAGCUUCGACCCAGUUAUAUCAGUAUUCAACACAUAAGCAAGAUAAACUUCACAUCCCUUUCUCAAGUAUUUCUGAGCAGACAUGUGCGAAAUCACCAUAGGCAACUUAUUCGGCUCCUCUGUUUCAAUCCGGAGAAUUUCACCAUUUUCACACUUUAAUUCAAGAAUUUUCUGUCUACAAUUCACCUUGGCAUCAUGCAAUAUCAACCAAUCCAUCCCCAAAAUAACAUCGAACUCAUCAAAUGGUAACAACAUCAAAUUAGCCAGGAAACAGUGACCUUGAAUCAUCAGGGGGCAAUUCUUGCAAAUCUUAUCAACUAAGACAUACUUGCCUAAUGGAUUUGAUACUUUAACUACAUAUUCAGUGUUUUCAAUAGGCAAUUUCUUACUAGAUACCAAUUUCAUGCAUACAUAUGAAUGAGUAGAGCCGGGAUCAAUCAAAGCAAUAACAUCUAUAUCAUGAAGAGAAAAUGUACCAGUAAUCACAUCGGGAGAUGAGGCAUCCUCUCGAGCACGUAUGGCAUAAGUCCUGGCAGGCGCUCUAAUUUCUGAUCCUCCAGCUGCAUCUUUCAUCACACUUUUACCACUAACUUUGCUUCCCACAUUUCUCGGCGGUCUCCCUCUACUAACAAUAUCACCCGAUCCAGCUCUUGGCAAAUUUUCUUCCUCUCUUCUCUUAGGGCAAUCUCUUACAUAAUGCUCUUGGGAACCACACCUGAAACAAGCUCGUUUAAAUCCCCAACACUCACCAAUAUGUCGCCUGCCACACUGUUGACAUUCAGGCCGGGCGUUUCCUACAUUGCCCACACUUGCUACAGAGGUAGCUCGAGUUGUAGCUCCAGAAUACGACCUCCCUCGGUCUCUGCGUGAAUACCCAACUGAACCAGUUGGUCGUGGAUCCAUCCCUUUAAACUUCUUCGAAUGAGAUUGAAAUGUUCUGCCCAUUGUCCUCUUCCUUACAUCUCGAGAUUCCAUCUCUGCCCUUCUCUUUUCUCUACUCAGUUCUUCAGCUUUACAGGUCCGAUCAACUAACACCACAAAUUCUUUUAACUCUAAAAUCCCAACAUGCAAUCUGAUGUCUUCAUUUAGCCCCUCUUCAAAUCUUUUACACAUAAUAGCCUCCGUAGGCACACAUUCCUGGGCAUAUUUACUAAGCCGAACAAACUCCCGUUCAUAUUCUGCUACGGACAUUCGGCCCUGUUUCAACCCGAGAAACUCUUUGCGUUUUUGAUCAAUAAAUCGUUGGCUUACAUAUUUCUUUCUAAAUUUUUCCUGAAAGAAGUCCCAAGUAACUCUUUCUUUUGGAACCACCGAUAUCAAUGUUUUCCACCAACGAUAUGCCGAAUCCUUCAAUAAAGACACAGCACAUUUCAAACAUUCUUCAGGGGUGCAAGAUAAUUCAUCAAAUACCCGAAUAGUAUUUUCAAGCCAAAACUCGGCUUUUUCCGGAUCAUCAUCAACAUUGGCCCUAAAAUCUUCAGCCCCAUGCUUUCUAAUUCUAUCAACAGGUGGCUUACUUGAUCUCACCAAUUCGGCACUCCGUGGAGCUACGGGGACCGGUUGAGGAAUAGGAGGGGGUGGAGGAGGAGGAACAUUCGGUUUUACACGGACAUAUUCUAUAUACCAAUCACUCAUCAUUCGGAGGAAGGCUUCCCGAGCCUCAUCCUGUCCAUGUGUCUCAUGUCUACUCUCUUCCUGCGCGGUCCCUUGCGCGAGAGCCGGCGCGUUACUUUCAACAUCAUCUGCCACACUUCGAUCAGGAUCCAUUUACUAUAUAAAACAAAAUUUUAAAUUGUCAGAAAUCAUCACACUAUCACAAUAAUUUUAUGGCAUGUAUAGACUGACUUCCACACGUAUUUUAUUGGUCCGAGAACCGACUAAACCGUAGCUCUGAUACCACUAAAAUGUAACACCCCUUACCCGUAUUCCUUACCGGAACAGAGUAUGAGGUAUUACUAAAUUUUUAAAAAUUUUCGACAGCAUUCCUACUUAUUUUUGCUUAAACCUCCUGCAAAUUUAGAACACAUUCCAAUAUACCAACCAAUUUCAUUUGUAUAAACACACAUAUAGUUUAACUAUUAAUAAACACUACAUUUAAAAGGGAACCAUAACAUAUAUUUACAUGAUGAUCCCACAUUACAUAAAGUGUCUAUACAUGCCAUAAAAUUUCGGAACACUAGUAGUAAAAUACCCCAAAUGUGAAGGAUAGUGUAGAUGAUUGUCUGACUUCGUUCCAAUUUCCGAGUUGUUGGAAGUCACUAUAACCAAGAGAAAAAUAAAAUCGAGUAAGCAUAUAGCUUAGUAAGUAAACACAUGAUAAAUAAGUAAUUACUCCCAUAACUACACCAAAAUAUAAACUUAUUCAUGAAUAACUUUAUUGUUUAGGCAAUUUCCAGCAAGCUGUUUUUCUGCGUCAUAGUUUCUAAUUUAUUUUUAUCUGGAGCUACAGAGCUCCAAAUUGAGUUCCGUAAAUUUUCCCUGAAACUAGACUCAUAUACCAUUUCACCAUAAAAAUUUCAGAAUUUUUAACCCAGCCAAUUAGUACAUUUUAUUCAUUAAACUUUCCCCUGUUUCACUGCCCAACGGUUCUGACCCUUCCUCACUAAAAUUUACUUAACUCUCUGUAAAAAAUUUGAAAAAUGGGUUUUCUUGUUUCUAAUAAAAAUAGACUCAAUAAGGAUUCCAGGGAUAUAUAUUUCAUGCCAUAAUUAUUUUUUUUCAAUUUUUGGUAAUUUUCCAAAGUUAGAACAGGGGAUCUCGAAAUCAAUCCAUCCCUGUUUCAGUAAAAUUCAGAUAUCUCCAAAAAUACAACUCUUUUGCUUAUUCUAUUUCUUUCAUAUGAAAAUAGACACAUUCAGCUUCAAUUUCAUAUAUUAUUCAGCUUCCCAUUCAUUUUCCACCAUUUAUGGUGAUUUUUCAAAAUUACCCAACUGCUAUUGUUUAACACAGUUUAUAAUUAAAUCGUUCCUUUUGCGUUUUUGAUAUUUUCUCCCAUCUCAUACAUGGGUCGAUUUAGUAUUCAACUCAAUAUUUACCCCAUAAAAUUUUCCACCAUAUGGAAAUAUUCAUCUUCCACACUUUUUCGUUGAACACUUGGAAUGUUAACCGUUAUUGGUGGAUCUCGCACUUAGCACCACCGCUGAAUCGAGGAAUCAGCACUUAGCAACCCCUCGGGGGAAUCAGCACAUAGCAACCCCCUUUCACAUUUCAAAGAUAUGGUGGAUAUCGCACUUAGCACCACCAAUGAACCGGGGAAUCAGCACUUAGCAACCCCUCGGGGGAAUCAGCACAUAGCAACCCCCUUUUCACAUUUCAAAGAUAUGGUGGAUCACGCACAUAGCACCACCAAUGAAUCGGGGAAUCAGCACACAGCAACCCCUUUAUAUACAACAUACUCCGGCUUAUUCCGAGUGUUCAACCCAUAAACCAUAUAUUGCAACCCUUUACCACCUUUCCCGAUUUAACAACAUUUUUAGGAUAUGGCCAAACAUUUAUUUUAAUUCCAAAUAAAUCUCAACAUAUAUCAAAUAAUAUCAAAAUAAUACAUUAAGUCACGUGUUUACUUACCUCGGUGCAAAAUAUCGUAAUUUUGCACUUUACUCCACUAUCUUUUCUUUUCCUCGUUUGAUAUACUCUUCACGUCUUUCUUGAUUAUGGAGCUUGAAAGCUUAAAAACCCUAAAUAUGGCUUCCCCCUUGCUGAUUUCGUUCACCAUGAAGAAGAUGAGCAUAUUUUGCCAUCUUUUUCCCAUUUAAUUCUAUUUAAUAACCAAAUGACUAAAAUGCCCCCAUUUAAAAAAAAAUCUAUUUCACCCAUUUCUUAUGUCUAUUUUUGUCCAUCAACUAACUAAUGGUCUAAUUACCACAUAAAGACCUCCAAUUUAAAAUUUCAUAACAAUUAGACACCUCUAAGAUGUAGAACUCAACUUUUGCACUAUUUACAAUUUAGUCCUUUUGACUAAAUUGAGUGCCCAAACGUCGAAAUUUUCGAACGAAAUUUUUACGAAAAUUUUCCGUGAAAUUGUAGAUCAUAAAAAUAUAAUAAUAACCAUAUUUUCCCUCGUCGGAUUUGUGGUCCUGAAACCACUAUUCCGACUAGGCCCAGAAUCGGGCUGUUACAUGAAUCCUCGGGCAACGCAAUAAAGUCGUAUACUCCUCCAAAGUAGGUGCAAGAUAAAUAUCACCAAAUGUAAAGAAACUAUAAGCAGGGUUCCAGAACUGUACCAUAGCUCGAAACAAGUGCCUAUCUACUUAGACGUCUAGCAAAUAGGAAAGGUCUCCAUAAUUCUGAUAGAAAAGCUGCUUAGCCUCGUCAUCUCAUUGGGCCCAAAUUUCUCUCAACUCCUGAAACUCAUUCUGCGUCGAAUUAAUACGGGUGAAGUCCCAUAACUCUGAUGUAUUCCCCUCAGUGACACUAUCUCCUUUCUCUAAUUGGGUUUUCUCUGACUAGGUACAGACAGAGGCGUUGUCCUCCACUUUAUUAAGGUAUUCGUUCCUCAUUACAAAACUUUCUAAUCUAGAAAUCAAACCUUGAAUCAACACCUUUAAAUGUUGAAUGACAUGAAAUAACAGCAAAAUAAAAUAGGUCAGUAUCAUAAAAAAAAUAAAAAGUACUUACAAGGGUAGCUCACUAAAGGCUGUCACUAUUUCCCUAGGGUAAGCACUUAAAGUUCACUAUAUGAGUUUUAGUUCUAAAUCAAGGGUACCUGAACCAGCAGAUUCCUCAGUCCUCACCUAUUAUAGGCUCAUAUAGACCAAGUUUAGUUCAGGGAGACACAUUUCCCUAUGGCCAUACGGAGAUGAAAAUCUCACGAAGACAUAGGUACAGUAUCUCAGAAGCAAUCCACUAGCUCAUACGGAGGUGAAAACCUCACAAAAGCGUAGCUUCUCACUCCCACUUAAAGGUGCAACCAACGGUCAUGUAAAUGCAAUGUGUGCAGAUAAUAUAACGAACAUAUGCAGCGAACACAUGAAAAGGGAACUUUAUCUUUAAAUCCCUUCAAAUUUUUAGCAUUAAGACAAAAAGUUAUCAAUUUUUUGGCUUGACUCUCUUAUUGUCCCCAGCGGAGUCGCCAAGCUGUCGAAACCCUUUUAAAACGGGGUUUGAAAAAUAGGGUACGACUUUAAAAAAAUGAAAACGGGAGUCGACACCAACCUUGUAAAGUGUAAUUGGAUCACUUUAUAAAACGUUUUGGUCUACGAAAUUACAAGAAAAUAGGUUCGGGAGUCGGUUACGUACGAGGAAGGAUUGACACCCUCGUAACGCCCAAAAUUGGUACCAAAUUGAAUAAUUUUGUCUUAAUGUCAAGUGUUUGAAUGAAUUUAGAAAUAAGAUCUCUUUUAAAAUCGUAAUAAUUUGAGUUAAAAGAAUCAAGAUUCCUUUGUUUCGAAAGGAUAUAAAUAUCAUAUCCAGCAUGAUUGAACACGAUAUUCUUAAACUUUCGUAAUCUAAAAUCAUCUUGUGAUUUUCAAAACUUAUUUAGAAGGAUAUUUUUAGGCAUUUAGACAAACAGGAAAUCGCAACCCGGCAUGUUAGGGUACUACUUCCAGAAUUCUUUUUGGAUCGAAUGAAAUAUAAAAAUUCUUUAAAGUGAUAAUGCAUUUGUCAUUUUACAAAGGGUCAAUAUUUAAAUAAGCUAACCUACAUAAUAUCUUCUUUAACAAUCCAUGCAAAUAUAAUAUAAAAAAAUGAAUAAUGGCAUAAAUUACACAAGAUACGUUAUCAUUUUAUGUAUGGUCAUAGAUAACAUAUAUAUACAUGCAUUGUCAUAUCAUGCGAAAUACAACGUAGAGCAUAAUGAAUUCAAUGAUAUAAAUUGUAUAAUAUAUAUAACAACCUCAUGCAAAUGUACCUUAAAUCAACAUAAAUGAUUAAUUCUCAUGCAAAUAUGUAAAAACAAUAACAAAUAUUCUAAAAAAAUUUUAACUUACUAAACAAUAACAAAAAGUAAAUAAGCAAAUUAUAGACAUAUAAAUUAAAUAGUAAAAAAAAUAAAGAUAUUCAUAAAUUUUUAGAACAAUAUGAAAAUAAUAAAGGAAAACUCUUUUUUUAAAUGAUUAAUAUAUAUAUAAACCAUAUUAUAGGGUAUAAUAACUUAAUAUAUUAACAACUUAAUAUAUUAACAAAAUAAUGUACUGAAUAUUAAUAUUAAUUAUUACACAUAUUUAUUUAAUAAUAAAAUAAAAAAUCUAUAUAAUUAGUGAUAAAGUAGUAUAUUUUUUACAAUGAAAUAAAAGUAAUGCAAGUUAUAAUAUAUGGUAAAAUAUAUAGUGUAUAAUAUAAUUUGUAAACAAAAUAUAUAAUAAUAUAAACCAUAUGAUAAGUAAAAAAAUAUAUAAUAACAUGUAUAUAAUGUAAUGUAUAAUAAAAGGAAAAAUACUAUAAGGAAUAAUAUAUAAUAUGAUAUGGAAUAUGAAUAAAACAUAAUAAAAAUACUAUCAUAUAAAUAAGGAUAAUAUAUACUAUUAUUUAAUAAUAAUCUUUUUAAAAAAAAUAAAAUUUACACAAUUAAUCAAUAAUAAUACAUAAUUUAAAAUAAAAAUAAUAUAUAUAUGAAAUAUAUAAUAAAAUAUAAUUUAUAAGUAAAAUAUAGAAUAAUAAAAAUAACAUGAUGGAUAAUAAAAAUAAUAUGUAAUUAAUGUUUAUAAAAAUAAAUAAUAUAUGAGGUAUUUAAAAUAAAUUAAAUAUAUAAAAAAGGAUUAAAAUUGAAUUUAAUUAAAGAAUUUAGGAUUAAUUACAAAAUAAAAUAAAAAUUGGGUCUAAUUGAAAAACGCAUUUAAACCCGAGGGACUCAUUGGGAAAUUAGCCCUUAUCCUAGGAAACGACGUCGUUCCUCAAAAUGGAGUUAAUGACCAUUGGGACUAAAUUGAAACAACUAUAAAAUAUUAGGGCCGAAUUAAAAAUAAAAUAAAAUGAAAUUAUAAAGAUUAAAAAUGCGGAAGGACUAAUUGGGCAAUUAGCCCAUUUUCCAAAAAAUACGCGGAUCCUCCCCGGGUCACGGGUCAACGCGCGGAUCCUCAAUAUUGAUACAACGCCGUUUUAGAGCUUAUUGUUUUAAGCUAAACGACGUCAUUCUAAUAAGGCUAUAUAAGCCAAAUUUUAACUUAAAAUUCAUUUAAAGCCCGGUUUUGAAAAAAAAAAGAAAGAAAUCCUCUGAAAGAGGAUUUGGGGCCGACCUCGGAGCUCUGUCGAGCCCCUGUUCUCAAGCGCCCACGCGUCCACGCGCCACCGCGAAUGCCGCCACGUGCGGCGGUCGGAAGUUGGAAAACUUCCCGUUUCAACGCAAAUUUAGAAAUAGUUCGUCUCCUCUUUUCCCUUUUCAUGUUACCAGCAUAUAUUUUGUAAAAAAAAAUGAAAUAUUCACCUCUGUAUUCUUUGAUAAUCUGCCAAUGUUUCUCUUGUUUUUAUCUAUAUCAACUGUUCGUAUCCAUUACAACGAUAGCACUCGGGCUUUAUAGCCACUGUUUACAAUAUAUUUACAUCUUUAUUUUAUUUCCUUGCCAUAUUUGUUUCGUCUCUGUCGUUUCUUUCCCUUUUUUGCGGAUGAUUGAGGAAAAUCCGGCGACGAUCGUGCUGACGAUGUAGAUCUACUGGUGGCAUUGAUCACGGUGUGAUUCGAAGCCUGGAAUCAAGGCCUGGAAUCUCAACACUGAUAGUGGGUUACGCGAGACGAACAGUCGCGUCGUUUGGAAUGCUUGCGGCGCUAGUGUUUUUGGAACCUUCCGUUUGCGGCGCCUAGGGCUCCAGAAACCCUAGGUCUUCCAUCCUUUGUUAACCAACUGGGCCAUUUGGGCCGUACUUGUUUGUGGGUUGGGUGUAAACGGGUUAGUGGGUAGUUUAGGUUAAUUGGGUCCUAAGUAUUUGGGUCUACGGGUUAGUGGGCUAUGGUAUUGUAAAUGGACUGUAAUAAAUAUAACAUUCAUUUAUUUUUAUUUUUUUUGCUUUUGGUUUUAAGGCCCGGGUAGAUUUUGGCUACUACAAGGGAAUUAACCUAAAAUUUUUAAUUCUGAAAAUAAAUUUAUCAUGCUUGAUUCUCUCAUGUCUUAAAGUUUAAAACAAC